UACGUAGGGGGCAAGCGUUGUCCGGAAUCAUUGGGCGUAAAGAGCGUGUAGGCGGUCCGGUAAGUCGGCUGUGAAAGUCCAGGGCUCAACCCUGGGAUGCCGGUCGAUACUGCCGGACUAGAGUUCGGAAGAGGCGAGUGGAAUUCCCCGGUGUAGCGGCGAAAUGCGCAGAUAUCGGGAGGAACACCUAUGGCGAAGGCAGCUCGCUGGGACGUUACUGACGCUGAGACGCGAAAGCGUGGGGAGCAAACAGG
rnacentral:rRNA from 1 species